AUGGAUGUGCGUUACGGUCUGAGUAAGCAGUUGCUUCUCGAAACUCAUCUUGAUUCUGUUACUAAAAGAAAUGUCACAGAAAGAACUGUUUGUCACGGUUCUGAUUAAAUUAAUCAAUUAAUCACGCUUACUCUUCCACACUUCCAAUUUAAGCGCGUUUUGGAAUUGCUUCCUAAGCAAUCUACCGUCUUCGUAUUUUGAACCAUAGAAUCGAUUCUAGGGUAACACCGGCGAUUCAUAUUUAUCAAAAAAUGGCGGAAGAAAUUAGGCAAAAGGACCGUAGCUUCAUCCUCCAAAUCUAGAAGCUUCUGGUCUUCACGCCGUUGGAUUCUCACUUCUACUGAUCACAUUCACAUCAUCGUCGCCGAGAAACGCAUUCUCUCCAUUAUCAAGGUUUCUUCCUUCGAAACUUUGAUGCUCUCGCUUCUCGUUUCAGAAUCGUUGCUGUUGAUCAACUUGGUUGGGGUGGAUCAAGUAGGCCUGAUUUCACAUGCAAAAGUACUGAAGAAACUGAGGCGUGGUUCAUUGAUUCUUUUGAGGAAUGGAGAAAAGCCAAAAAUCUGAGCAAUUUCAUACUACUUGGACAUUCUUUUGGUGGUUAUGUUGCUGCCAAAUAUGCGCGCUCAAGGUAAGCAGUCUGUUGCUGCAAUGCUUAAAAUGAUAAAGACUCCAUAACUUUCUCCUACCAUUCAAUAUGUUGGAUGUACUAUUUUAUUAGUUUGAGUAUAGCACCCUGAGCAUGUACAUCACUUAAUUUUGGUGGGACCAGUUGGAUUUACAUCAGAAUCAGAUGCAAAGACUGAUUUUAUUGAAAAGUUUCAAGCGACAUGGAAGGGAGCAAUUCUAAACCAUCUAUGAGAAUCUAAUUUUACUCCCAAAAAAUUGUCAGGUAAGACUAUUAUGUCCCAUUUUAUCAUCCUCCGAUAAGUUAGCAAUUUUUUUAAAUCAAACAGUUUAAGAUGCUUUGUGAUGUUUGUGUAUAAUUCUAUUUAUAAUGAAGCUUAGGUUCCUCAUAAUAUAUACCAUUAUCCAUUAUUAUAUGGGUUAUUGUACCUCCUUGGGAUUAGCUCAGUUUGUUGAAAUUGUAGAGUCUCUAACUAUCUUAGGCCUCUGAAAACACAACUUUGUUAUUCAUGACCUUUUGAACUCUUCUAAAAGAUUCCCAAUUUCAAAAAAGUAAAAAGUGUCUGACACAAAUAGUAUAAAAACAUGUUGGUUGUCCGAACACACUUGCUGAUGUCUGCCCACUUUGCUUCAAGCGGCUUUGAGGGCUUUCUGUUCCACGGUAAAAUCCCAUGUCUGCAAUCCUACAACUUGGGAAACACAGGGAAGUCCACACAUACAUCUUUUCUUCAUACCCACUCGUUUCCUAGAUCAUUCAUUGACCUAAAUAUCAAUCCUCUUGUGGAUCGGUCAAGAAAUUUGCAGAAAUUUAAAAUUAUGUUGAUUAUAUAUAUACACUGAGAUGUGUGCCAUGUUUUAAAAAUUAUAUUCAAAAUGAUAAACACAAAAUAAAUAAUCAAACUAUUUAAAAUAUAAAGAUGUUAGAAAAAACUAUGGGAAAUAUAAAGAUAACAAUAACUAUUCCACAUUGAUUACAUAUUUUUUGUUGUUUUUUGCAGACUCACAUUUUAAACUUUUUUUUUUGACACAACUCACAUUUUAAACUUAUUCUAUUGUUUUAUAAUUUGUUCAUUAUAGUUCCAAAGUCUCACAUCAAUGGAGUUCGGGGAUCUGUCGCAUCUCUAACUAGUAGUAUAAAACUAAUAAGGGUAAUUCUAAGGGCACAUGUUAAAGAGUUAAAUAUGAAAAAAAAAAUCUUUGAAAUUGUGCAUUGUUUUCAUUAAAAAUUGAUAAUAGGUUGUUUCUAGUCAAAGUAGAAAUUCUAUUUUCUAAUAAUUCUAGUUUAAUGCACCCAUACAUUUGACUCCUCUUACAUUUAUGACAUUUAUGACAAUUAUGAAGUCCCAUCUCUCAUUUUUGUACGUUGGGUAAUGCUAACUUGUAGGGGUGAUCGUAUCCGAACCAAUCCAAAAGCAAAACCGCAAAUCGAACCAAUCCAAACCGAAACCGCAAAAAACCGCGUUUGGUUUGGAUGAUUUUGGAUGAUUUUUGGAGUGAACCGCGCGGUUCGGUUUGGUUUGCGGUUUGUAUUUCACAAAACCGAACCAAACCGAAACAAACCGCAUGUUUAACUUAAGUUUUGAAUUUUAAUAGUUAAUUUAUUAUCUUUCCAAAUCCAAUUGCAUAAAGCCACACCUCACGUUUUGAAUUUUAAUAAUUAAUUUAUUAACUUAAGUUUUGGCAUAAUCAACUUAGUUUUUGUAUUUUAUUGAGCUACAUAUAUAUGUAAUUGUCUACUGUCUAAAUAUGUAUUUCAUUUAUAAUGUAUUUUUAGUUCUCUACUGUUCUUAUAAUAUAAUUUCUUUUGUAUGGUAUAAUAUCAUAUAUUAUAUUGGCAUUGAAUUACUUUCCUUUUUCCUUUUAUUUCAGUACAUUUUUAUUUUAUAGUGUAAACCGCAGUCAACCGAACCGAUCCUAACCGCAUUGGUUUGGUUUGGUUUGGUUUGGAUGACUUAUUAAAAAUCAACCGAACCAAACCGAACCGCAUGCAUUUUUAUCUCGCGGUUAGGAUGACUUUUAUGCUCAAAACCGAACCAAACCGCACCGCGAACACCCCUACUAACUUGUGUCCCAAAGGCACAAGUUAAGAAACUCACUUAUAGAAAAUUUAUUUUGAUAAAAGUAAUAAAAAGUUAAUUUUAUACUUUCACUAAAAUUAGUGUACAAUUUCCAAAAUAUUCUUUCUUCAAUUAGUUCUUAACUUGUGCUCCUAGGACACAAGUUAGCAUUACCUUACAUCAAAACUAAAUUAUAUUUAUUGAUUAUCAAAUUUGACACUAAACCAACUUCAAUUAGGCCAGGUUCAUUAAUAAGGUGGGUAUUUAAUUACGUUUAUAAUUGUCAAAGUUUCCUAGUUGUCUGGUGAACCCUAACAAAACUAUGAAGAAAACUCUAAAACUAAAACUAGAAAAAAAUUAAAAACUAAAUACGUUUUUUAUUUCAUUUGCAAAUGUUUCAAUGAGAGACUAGUGGAUGACAAACUAAAAACAAAUAACAAUACGAAUAAAUGUACUAUUUAUAUAGCUUAUAAAUAAACUUAAAUACCUAAAUAUAAUUUUAUACUCCAUCUUCCACGCAUUAAACCUCUCAACCAUCAAUGUUCUAUCCCUUCUAAUUCCUAUUGUUCUUUAAGCAUAUCAUUUUCUGAAACCUCUAGUUGUUGCUUCUCUUUCACAUCAGUCUCUUUAAUGUCCUUUGAGGAAUUCAAUUUCCAACUUUAAUGCAUGUUUAGCAUUCGAUCUUCUCUUUUGGUCAAGAAAAGCCAUGUGAAGUUCCUCUUUCUAUUUCUGACUCAUCAAACCAAAAGAGUCAUUAAAACUUAAUUAAAUAAUGUACAUAAAAGGAAAAUGAAAUUCAUACUUAUUUUCUUGGCAAAAACAUUAUUUUGCAAUCAACCUUUUUUACUUUGUUAUGGCCAUCUCAAUCCAUUGACAACAAGAUGAAAAAUUAAUUCAAUCAAUCUAAAGUUAUCAGCAUUGCUACCAUAAAUUAAAAUAAUUCAAAGAAAAGAAAUUAGAUUUCUCAUCGUAAUAUCAUCAUCUCUUUUAUGCUUCAGCUUGAGUUCGUCCCUUCGAACUACCAGCAUGGCUUGUUCAUGAUUCAUGACUACUUUUUCCAGAUUAAUGCCUCUAGCCUUCUGGAUGUUGUUUAUAUAUAAUGAAACAGUGUGAGACGAACUCAGCUACCACGGAAUAUUGAACAUUAUUUCGUCGAAUGAAAUGGAGAACAUGUAUGAAUGUUUCAACCAAAGUUUGUAGUAAUAUUUUGUCGUAGCUGAGUUUGUUUCACUUAGUUUCAUUAGAAAUAAACAACAUGCAGAAGGCUGAAGGCAUUAUUUAUCUGGAAAAAGUGGUCAGGAAUCAUGAAUAAACCAUGCUGGAACGGGUGGUUCGAAGGGACGAACUCAAUCUGAAACAUAAAAGAGAUGAUUAUAUUAUGAUGAGAAAUGUAAUUCCAUUUGUUCAGAUCUUUUAAUAUAUGAUAACAAUGCCGAUAACUUUAGAUUGAUUAAAUUUGUUAUUCAUCUAGUUGUCUAUAAAUUCAGAUGGCCAAAACAGAGAAUUACAUAAUGAUGCUUUUGGAAAAAAAAUAUAAAGUUACAUAUUUUUCUUUUAUGUGCGGUAUUUAAUUAAAUUUUGAGAACUCUUUUGGUUUGAAGUUGCAAAAUGAGAAAGAAACUUCACAUGACUCUUCUUGACCACCAGAGAAAACCGGAUUUUUAAACUUCUUGACCACCAGAGAAAACCGGAUUUUUAAACAUGCAUUGAAGUUUGAAAUUGAAGUCCUUAAAGAAUCUUUUCAAGUAGAAAAUUAGAUUAAAGAGAUUGAUGUGAAAGAGGAGCAACAACUAGAGGUCCUUAAAGAAUCUUUUCAAGUAGAAAAUUAGAUUAAAGAGAUUGAUGUGAAAGAGGAGCAACAACUAGAGGUUUUAGAAAAGGAUCUGCUUAAAAAGCAACAUGAAUUAGAAGGGAUGGAACAUUGAUGGUUGAGAGGUUUAGGGCAUGGAUGAUGAAGUAUAAAAUUAUAUUUAUGUAUUUAAGUUUAUUUGAUAAGUUAUAUAAAUAGUACUUUUUAUUUGUAUUGUUUUUUACUUUUAGUUUGUCAUCUACUAGUAACAUUAUAUAUUGUAGUGUUAUUGAAACAUUGCAAAUGAAAUGAAAAAUGCCUUUAGUUUCUUAGUUAGUUUUUAAUGUCUUUCUAGUUUUAGAGUUUUCUUCAUAGUUCUGUUACCAGACAAUUAUGAAACUUUAAUAAUUAUAAACGUAAUCAAAUACUCACCUUAUGAGCUAUCAGUGUUGCUUUCUUCGCUAUUAGAAAAUGCCGUGGGUCCCACUAAAAUCUAAUCUCUCUUCCCAACUUAUCUACAUUCUAAGUGGGAGAAAUUAUGCUUUUUUCUUGUACUUCUCUCUUCAAUGUUUCUCUCUUCACAACGUCUAUUAUAACAAAUACACCCUAAGGCUAUGUUUGGGAGUUUGGAGAGAAAAGGAGGGGAGGACUUUGAAAAAUAGGAAAGAUUAGGGGAAAAGAAUAGAAAGAUUUUAGUUUAGAGGGUUUUGGAGGGUUUGGUUUUCUUCAUAACACCCCUUAAUUUGGGGGAACUCAAAAUUUAUAUUAAAAGAGAGUUUUGGAGGGCUUUGACAAAAUGUUCAAAUAUAAUUUUUGUUGUUAUAGUAUUUCAAAAAGUAAAAAUACACUAUUGAUAAACAUUAUUUUAUCAUUCUAAGUAAAAUCUUUUUUUAAAAAAAUGUUAAAAAAUUCUCUAUAUUUUUAAAAAAAAUCAAUUUUCGAAGCCUUCCCCUUCCCUCCAAAUUCCCAAACAUGGCCUAAAUGUAUCUAAGCACGCAUUACGAAACAUAAGACAAACCUCAUCAUAAAAAAAAUAGGGUUUAAUAUACUUCACCCCCUGCCAAUAUAGCGAGUUUCGGUUUGGUCCCCUUGAAUGUUUUUUUUACGAAAUGCCCCUUAUAAAACCCAAAACCUGGAUUUACCAAACCCUUUUACCACAUUUGCUGACUGGGCUUUGACUUUGGAUGACGUAUCCUAGGAUGAGUCAUACGUUAGACUAGAUCCUUUGUAUUGAGAAGUACCAGAGUGAGCCGUAUGUUAGGCUACAUCGGAGCUUAGUAUGUUGCGAAGUGUCUGUUGGAGAUGUUAGUCGUGUCAGCACCGUUCGUAGUAUCUGAAUUAGACUUUGGAAAAGUUGAUCGUGUCUACAUCGUUCGUGAUGAUAAAAUUAGAUCUUUGAAUGUUGAUCGUGUCAGCACCGUUUGUAGUAACUGAAUUAGAUCUUGGAAGAUGAUCGUGUCUACACCGUUCGUGAUGAUAGAAUUAGAUCUUUGAAUGUUGAUCGUGUCAGCACCGUUCGUAGUAACUGAAUUAGAUCUUGGAAGAUGAUCGUGUCUACACCGUUCGUGAUGAUAGAAUUAGAUCUUUGAAUGUUGAUCGUGUCAGCACCGUUCGUAGUAACUGAAUUAGAUCUUGGAAGAUGACCGUGUCUACACCGUUCGUGAUGAUAGAAUUAGAUCUUUGAAUGUUGAUCGUGUCAGCACCAUUCGUAGUAACUGAAUUAGAUCUUGGAAGAUGAUCGUGUCCACACCGUUCGUGAUGAUAGAAUUAGAUCUUUGAAUGUUGAUCGUGUCAGCACCGUUCGUAGUAACUGAAUUAGAUCUUGGAAGAUGAUCGUGUCCACACCGUUCGUGAUGAUAGAAUUAGAUCUUUGAAUGUUGAUCGUGUCAGCACCGUUCGUAGUAACUGAAUUAGAUCUUGGAAGAUGAUCGUGUCCACACCGUUCGUGAUGAUGGAAUUAGAUCCUUGAGAGUUGACUGUGUCAGUACCGUUCGUAGUAACUGAAUUAGAUCGAAGAUAUUGUUCAUCUGCUUAUACCUGUAUCCUGAAAAAGGUAAAGUUAGUAUUUAUGCAAUAUCAUGAUGCAUGUAUUAUGCAACGAGUCUCUCAAAAUAAAUGAGAAACUUGCGUGUUAUGUAUGAAUUCAUUAUGAGGUAAUGUAUGCAAUGUAUGAAUAUGUUUAUGACAUAUGAUAUGUGAAUAUGAUUUAUGUUGUCUUGAUUGAGAAAAUAAAUCUCUCUGUCCUUGUAAUUUUGUUGUCUGAUCUUGUCUUGGAGAUGCCCAGCUGGGGGUUUAUGAUUUUUGCUUGGGGAUGAUCAGCAACUUGAUGCACCCUGAUUGGGAAUAAAAAAUAUUAGUAAACCAUGUUGGAGAAGAGCGAUGUGUUGAAGAAACCGGUAGUGUUGAAGAUGUAAACUCUGUUGGGGAGCCAUGUCUUUGUCGGGACGAGAGUAUUUGAGGAUAUCUUCUUAAUGAUUACUCUGUGGGGAUAUGAUCUUGUGAACCCGGCUCUGUGGGGAGACUUGGGUGUCUUGAAAGUUGCCCCCAGUAUUAUAGUAACUACCAUUCCUGGAUUUGAUUAGGACACACCACUGAAUAUUAAUCAAGAUGUCAAACCGGACUUGCAUAGAUUUGCCCCUGCUAAUAGGAACUUUGGAAAGAUUCGCCCCACGAGGACUUUAUGAGAUGUGCACUAUGGGCGACAUGCCCCUAGUAAUCAUAGACCCAAGACGAUAUCCUAUGUUGGUCGAGAAGUAGCUUCAGAUCUACUUGGAUGCAUGCCCCUGAUUGUUUUGGCACCCUUGAGAGAUUCUUCGAAUCUUGACUUGCUUGCCCCAGAUUGAUUGGGCAAAGCGUGCCAUGCCCCUUGUAUACGUAGGAGACAUUGCUUCUCGGAGUAAUCUUGUCUGUCAGGAUAACUUUCAGUCAUUAGUUGUACCCUGUACAAAUUCUUUCUGUUGCUAACGUUCGAAAUUAUGUAGCAGAAUUUGUUUAAUAAUGAAUUCAUGAGAUGCAAUGCAUACGUUUGUCUUGGGUUUUUGAAAAAACAUUAAAACAAGGGAUGUAAAAGCGUGAUAUUUGUAAAAACAUGCUAUUUUUGUAGAAGCGAAAUAUCGACUCAGCAUUUUAGUAAACCUUAAGGAGUCGGGAUACCUUUUUGGUGACAGUAUGCUUUCGAACUAACAAUGCUUCAAUUAGGACUUUCAAGGGUUGUAACGUGGCUUGGUUCACAGUUUAAGAAACAAAGGAUAAAGGCUCAAAAUUUGAUUGUACCCACCCCUCUUCGUGAUGAUCUUCAGUCAUAAGCUUAGUUAAUUCAACUUAUGCAUUCAGGUUCCAAGAGACUUUUGGAUUUGCACCUUUGAUAAUGAUGAUGGUUUACAAGCAAAGAGAACUUUUGAGAUGGCAGUCACUUCUUCCUUUUGGUAGUCAUAACAUUGUGUUGUUCAGGAAUUUAUUGACUUCUCUUUCAUCUUUUUGAUAUCCCUAACUUUUGCCUGAACUGUCUAUUUUGAGCUUACAGUCAGCGGGAUGCCUUGAUUUUUGCCUAAGUCUUCUUUUUUAUUUUUGACUUAGCAGGCUUUUCUUUGUAUAUAUGUUUUUUCAUCAUUUUUUUUAAAGAUAUUGACUGCCUUGCUUAAUGAUUGACGAACCAUCAUUGGCUUUUGAUUGACAUCUCCAACACUUCUUUGAUGCGUGCGGAUGAACGCUUGUGAUUGAAACCUUUGUUGAAAGGUGUACUGAAUGAUUCUCUUAAAAUAGAAUGCACAACCAAAUUAACUGAGAACUACCCUGCCCCAGGUUAUGAUCAAGGGUUUUAAUUAGUGCAAGAAAGAAACUUCUACUUCUUAGGUUCAAAGGGGUUGACGAGGGAUUAACAUCCUUAUAUUUCCACUGUUUAGGAAUUGAAACAAUGCCUGUACAUCGUCAACAUAGUCCGCUCAAAAGCAUACUGUAUGAGGUUGCGGUAUCGUUUUCGUCAUCCUCCCUCAAAAGGUAUACAACUUUAGCAGGAGUUGAGUAUCGUAAAACAUAUGCAAAGUAAAGACAUAAUUUAAUAACGAAAUAAUUUAUUCAAGACAAACAUAUGCAAUGCACUGAUGAUGAUUAUUAAGACAGAUAAUGUCUAUCAUAAGUCGAAUGUUUAAACAAACAGGAAAGAAAAAUGCAAAUGAAAGUAGAUCCAAUGAUCCCAAAGUUCGUCCGUCUAGACGUCAAUCAGUCUUGUCAUGACUAGGCAUAGGAGCGGUGAUCACCACAGGAGUUUUUAGGAGGGUUGAAUUUGAUUUCUCCGUCAUUGAUCAGACCUUGGAUCUUAUUCUUCAAUGUCCAGCAAUCGUUUGUGUAAUGUCCAGGACUGUUGGAAUGGUACGUGCGCCUCAUAUUGAGCUUAUAUCCAGGAGUGGAGGUGUUAGAAUUAUUAGGAGCAUCCCUCAGAGUAAUCAAUUUGAUCUUCAACAGAUGUUGUAAUGCUUGAGCCAACGUCAUAUUAAUUUUGGUGAAUUGACGCUUAGGUAUGUCUGGCUUUCUUCGUCGUUGUAGAACUGCUUCAAUAGAUAGGUUGCGUUCAUUAUAACCUUUCUGGUUGUACAUAGCAUUAGCCAUAUGAGGCUUCUCAGGUGAGUUGAAGUCAAUGAUCUUGUCGUCAAUUAAAUCUUGAAUCCUAUGCUUCAAUGGUCCACGAUCCUCGAUAUCAUGACCAAGACUGUUCGAAUGAUAAGCACAUCUCGCAUGAUUCUUAUACCUAGGAGCAGGAUUGGCUGGAACUGAAUAUGGAGGCAAUAGGGUUGCCAAGCUCCAAUUGAGCAAUUAUUGUAAAACUUGAGACAAUGGCAUGUGCAACGGAGUAAACUUUGCUGCAUCGGCUGAUCCUUUUUCUUCUGGGUUACCAAGGUUUUUUCAACUCGUCUUGCCCCUUGGCCAAGUUCAGAAUCAAAACUUGUAAUUGGAUAUUCUGAGCCUGAAGAUUUUUGACUGAUUAUUCAAAAUCCAUUUAUGCUGAAAUAAACAGCGGGAGAGAAUGGGAAGCCUAUUGCGGGAACCUGUUAUGCGAUGUUAUGAAUGCAAAUGCAGUAUUUUCAAGGAUCUAUAAGAAAUUUAGUUUGCGACGUUAGAAAAUAAUUGGUCGCAUCUUUGUCUGAAGAAUUCUGACUUUCGUCUUUGAUCAUCCUCCUUUGAGAAUCAUGCUCACCAUAUCGAGUGGGUCAUCGCCUCUGAUUCAGGAUAUCUCUGAAUUUGAAAGUACAUGGCUAGAGGAAAAUAAAUCCUCUUUCCCCUUGAUAGGUACUGAGCCUUUGAAUUGGAAGGCAUAAGGCCAAAGGAAAAUAAAUCCUUUUUCCCCUUGAUAGGUGCGGUAUCUUCGAAUUGGAAUGUACGUGGCCAGAGGAAAAUAAAUCCUCCUGCCCCUUGAUGGGAAUUCGGUCCUUAAUAAGAGCACCAACAAUUGUGUGCCCUAAAUUCCUAAGAUCCUUGAAAGGGUUAGUUAAUCAUGUUAUGUUUUGAUGUCAUGAUAUCAUGAUGUUAUGUGAACAAGUCCUUUUAACAAAACCUGCAAGGAAACGAAGGUUAGUAGCAAACACAAACAAGUCACACAAUUUUUGGCUUAAGGCUUGCAUGGGGUCUGAUCAGGUGUCCUUCCCAAGGGUAUUUAUAUGGAUAAGGAGAUUUCAGCAACGGGUUCUACAAGUUAUCCAGAAUUGUCAGCCCUUCUAAAGCACCCUCGGACAUGAUACAUUCGCAUCAUGCAAUGAUACUUUGAGAAAGGACCUAUCUGAAUUGUAGCAUCGGGUAGCGACUAGUUCUCAACAUUUGUCAAGAGUAGUCCCCCCACUACGUUCCUAAAGGCCAGGAUGGGUUAAGGGUAACUAAAGGUCCUUGAGCUCCGGCGCACCCACAGACACAUACAUAGACCCCCCCUCAUUUGAGAAAGGUGUGCAUAUGCUAUGGAGUCCUAACUCAAGUGUGAACUUCAUAUUGACUCAUCUCCCACAUAUGUGAAAGAGGUCGCCAUGACUAUGCCACUCCUAAUCUUAAGUGUACUUGAAUCCGGGUGUAGGAUUCGUCCUUCAGUUAAUUCCCAAGCAACCUUUAAAAUAAAGCAAGCAAAGCGAGUAUUUAAGUGAUCCUAAACUUUAAGGUAACCCCUCUUUUAAUCGAAUAUAUCCCCAGCAGAGUCGCCAGUUCUGUAAUACGGUGAACUGACUUUUUAUCGAAAUGUGCAAAUAGCAAGAGUCGCCAUCGACUUUUAUUUUAUUCAAUUGGAAAGGCAAAAAGAACAGGAAAGACCUUUGAAAGAUACUGAGUUCGGGGGGUAAGUUAUACAAAGGGAAGGUGUAAUGCACCCUUUGCAUCCAUGGUUUUCCAUGGGCUCUUAAUUGCUUGGCUCAAUUUUGUUUGUUUGUUUGAAAAGUUUGAAGUGUCGUGUGUGAAUAGUAAAUAGAGUUUGUUAAGGACUUUAGCUUGUAAAUAAGCGUAGCCUUGUUUUGAAUAGUUUUGAAAGGAGGUGUGAAAAGUAAUUGAAUUUGUUUGAGUGGAGCAAGCAAUUAAGAACUACUUACUCUAAGUUUGUCUUUCGUGUUCUUUAAGUCUUUUAGACGAAAGGGUCUAUCCAUACCAUGAGAGGGCAGGAAGUCUUUCAAUUGGAUGUGCGGGUCAUCGAGAAUAAUCGUUCGCCACAAGACUAUCCCUACCAUGAAGAGGGCAAGUAGUCUCGGGGAAGGAUAUAAUAGUCAUUUAGGCAACAGUAAGGAUACCUUAGCAAUCGAAGGGACUAUCACCAUUUAAUCGAGGGACGAGAUCAUAUUUAUCGUAGGCAACUCGAAGGGACUAUGAUCUUUUAUCGGAGGGACGUGGUGAUUUUGGAAUCGAAGGCAGCAAGCUAAGGUAUCCCUACGCUCGAAGGGACUUGACUAUUCGAUCGAGAUCGAAGGCAACAGGCAACAAGAGGCGUUACCCUAGAGGUGGGUGUGUGUAGCAAUCACGUGAGUUAGAUUCGAGUAUUUAUCUCGAGUUAGCGAACUACCGUUCAAUUAAUUAGUCUUGUCACUCCCUAAUUUACUAACCACGCAGUUAAUAUAUUUACAGGAAAAUAAAAGUAUGAAAAUUAAAUCCUACGCUAUUACAUGGCUUCGGGAUUGGGGGAUACAUAAUAAAAACCGGGGGAUUCGAAAAGUAAAGUGCAGAAAAUAAAAGGUUCUGAUUACUAUUACAUUAAAAAAUAAAUAAGCGUCCUAUACAUAAUUUCUAGAAUUAUAACGGCAGGAAAUAAAUAAUUAAAUCAAUAGAAAUUAAAGGCAGAAAUAAAAGCAGAAAUUAAAAGGCAAAAAAAACAUUAAACACAAGGCAUUCGACAAUCACAGAAUAAGGGAUGAGAAGAGAAAUUGCGCAUUUUUAGAAAUUCAAGGUUUGAAGGCAAAUGAGGUGUUCAUGGUGAUAAAUCCUGAAUCUUAAAGGUUAGCCUAAUGGAGAGAACACCAACCUUACAGUUAAUGGGCAAUACCUACCUAAUUGGGGUUAAGGGGAAAGGUUAAUUAUAAAACCUAAAAUUAAUUUUUAUUAUCAAACCUAAAAUUAAUUAAAAUUAGUAGCCUAAAAAUUAACUUAUUUAAUUAAACCUAAAUUAAAUUACAAGCCUAAAAAUUAACUUAAAAUUGAUUAAAUUUAAAUAAUUAAUCUAAAUUAAAUUAGUAAUUUAAAACUAAAUGAAAUUAUUAGUCUAAAAACUAAACUAAAUCAUUCUAAUUAUUCUAAUUCUAAAAUUAAAAAAAAACUAAAAAGGUUUAAUUAAAAUAAAUAAACUUAAUAAAAAAAACAAACAUAGUAAAAAAAUAAAAAGGGAAACCUGAGGCGUAUAAUUGAGUGUGGUGCGAUUCUGGGAGGUCCAUGGUGAACCUGCAGACUCUGAUCGUUGGAUGAAUCUGGAAGCUGAUCUAACGGCUUGGAUAUGAGGUCACGUGGUAAGGGUGUACGCUGGCGUCGUACUGGAUCUUGUUGGAAAUCCUCAUAAAAAUUAAAUGGUGCCCCUGGGGUUCGAACCCAGGUUUCCUCCCUCUCCAAGGAUCGUAGCAAGCCACUCGUGCUACUUUGCAUUUGUUGAAAGAAAAUCAACAACAAUUAAUUAAUAGGGUAACAUUAAGAUAAUGGUUAAUUCAAGAGUUCAGUCAAAGUGGGUCCCUGUAAUCUGCACGCGACAAAUGAGGAAGAGAGAGAGGGUCUUGAACGUUUGACCUUCCAAUCAGGAUCUUGCACGCGUGGAAGAGAGAGAAGAUACCAUCCUGCCAGCCAAUAGCGUGCGGUCAAAGAGUCCCCCAUGCACUAUUCAUCUUAUCUUUUAAUUUACCUGCGGAUUUGGCCAAGGAUUUUGCUGCAGAAUCACCUGCGAAAUUUUCUUUGUUUUUUCUGCAACAUGGAGACUAAAAAAUAACACGUUAAAAAUAUGAAACCAACACCCAGAUUACCCAAACCAGAUGCCCUGAAUUCAAUGGUGGUAUCGGUUUGAUCAGAAACACAUGAUAGCCAUGAAAACGAAAGGGAGCUUCUCUUGUGCCCUAGUAAUGGUGAUUCACGACCUGGGCACUAUAACUCCAAUCCAAUGAUCCAGGUCCCUUCUAAAACACUUCAAGAACGUACUAACAUCAAUAGAUCACGUUAAAACGCAAAGGUACAUGACAUACGAAUUUUGAAAGUAAUGAACAAAUAUGGUGAUCAUGGUGCAUGAGUUUUACGUACCAUUACCUGUUAUAUAUUACUUGGGCUUACCAUAUAAUGCUUCAGGAGUAGAAUGGAAGUAUUGAGAGGCUUUGAAGUCGGCUGUAAUGAAUCCUACGAGCUUGCCCUAGUUUAAGUUGAUAUUUUGUACCUUGAACCCUAUUCCUUGCCACCUUUUUUUUUCUUCUCUUGGCUGCAAGUGUUGAUUAUAUAUGAGUGAAAAAAAAUUAGGUUAAGAGUGGACUUGGAUCCAUGUAUUUGGAGAGAAAAAAUUUGAUUGAAAAAUCAUGUUAUUCUUUCUUUUUUUGGCCAAAUAGAAUCUCAAUCUUUUGCAAACUUGGGGGCCACGAAAUUCCCUCAAAUAUAUGGCCUAAUGAUGAUUGGAUCUGAUUGGAAGAAGUGAUCUUUGAUUUGAAACCAUUUAUUUCAUAUUUUAUAUGAUUUAUUAAUGUUUAAAUGAAUAAAAAUUCAUAUCAAUAAAAAAUAACAACCAUAAAAAUAAAAUAAAAGGUUUAAGAGUUUUUAUAUGGGCCAUGUUCACGUUUGAGAUGGAAAUCUUAGGCCCAUUUAGUCAAAAACUCAAAAUUCACCACUUUGCCUUUUAUGCAUUUUCUCAAAAUCGCCCAACUUGCGCAAGCCAUAACUCUCUCAAUUUUUAUCAUAUGGGGAUGUUCUAAGACUUUUUGGAAAUCCCAAUAUGUCUUCUUCAAGCCACUUUGGAACAUAUUUUCCAUUUGGAGAUUUUAUCUUGAUGAUAUUGCUCCUGACAAAAAACAGCUUUUUGCGAGCUUCUAGAAGGACCUGUAAUGUAUUGGCUCAUAUCGCUUAUGCGGAAGCAUUUCUUGACCUCGAGUUCAACAUAAAAGUUGUAGAGAAUGAAAUUUCCUUGAGAUUAGGCUUAGGUUGAGGAAUUUUUGAUAAAGUAUGAGGGAGAUAUGAUCAGUCAAAGUUGGGUUGACUUUUAGGUCAAAACCCUAAUUUAGAAACUUAGGUCUUUGAUGAUUUUGGAGCCUUUCUUGAUGAAUAAUGAUCAAAUCUUGAUCAAAUAAUGAAUUAUACUUCAAAAUUAGGAUGUUGGCCAAAAAUCAGGAGUUUUGACUGUACUUUGACCACAGUUUGACUUUUAGGUCAGUCAGUCGAUUAUUGAUCGUUUGGGCCAUUGAGUGAGUAAUCUUUUGAAUCGGGGCUUGAUACUUGUCAUGAGGAUACUUUGAAUCAUAUGAGAGACCAUGAAGUCCACUUGAGGUAUCAGAAGUUGAUUUUUCUUGGAAAGAAACACAACCCUAGUUUUGGUCCUCAUUGUUUAGGAGGAGAGUGAACAUGCUUGCAAUUGGAUAUCAUAUGAGCCUGAGGAGGCUUCUUGAGCCAAAAUAUCUUGAAAUGUGAUGGGCAAAUUUUGGGGUAUGACAAUGGUACCGAUUCCGAUGAUAAUGAGCUGAUAUUUAAACUAAGGAAGCCGCGUUGUGUGAUUUGCUUGGGGCCGGAGGAGGAAAUAUGCGGUAAUGGAGGAGGCGAGAAUGCUGUUGGGGGAGUUGAUGUAGAACGGAAGGAUUUGGGAGGUAUGGAGGAUACCGUGGCUUGCUUUAGGAAGAGGUUGAAGGGUCCUAAGAGAGAUCGGGGUUCUAGAGAUGCAGGAGGGAAUGUGUCUACUUUGAAUGUGGUGGCAGACUCUUCUGAUGGGUAUUUGAACGUUUUAUGUCAGUAUGAAGGUUGGAUGAUUGAUCUUUGUUGAUUAAGGACGACGUAUGUGAGGGGAGGGGUGGUGGGGAUAAUGGUUCUGAUUUGGAUAUGGAUAUGAAAGUAGAGGGACCUAAUGUGGAUUUGGAACUGAAGGGAAUCAAGGAUGGGGUGACAUGUCUGAAGGUGAUUUGGUUGCACAGGAGUUAAGAAAUACUCCAAAAGAUGAAAAAGGGGUUUGUGUUUUGCUUAAUGCUGGUCUGCAACACUCUUCUGAAGAAACAAUGGGAGAUUAUUUGCCGGAAAUGUUACGAACACCACAAUCUAGUUUUGUUAGCAAGUCUUGUACUGCUGUCAGUUCAGAGCAGAAAUGUGACAGUGGGGGCCAGAAUUUGGAUGACAGGUUGAGCCCUGACUCUAGAAGUGCCAGCAAAACUGCUGAUGGUAUUCACAAUUCAAACAUUCUUGACGGGCCAUUAGCUGAUCGCUGUUUUUCAGCCAACGUCUGCUAUGGAGGUAGCCAACCGUUGACCUGUGUACGAUCUGAAGACAUUUGUUCUUCUUCUGACCAAAAGGCCACACUACAAGAAACGAUUAUCAAUGAUGGUUUAAAGAAGUGUUCUGUCAUAUUGCAUGAAGUUGAAGAAAUCACUGACACCAUGUCUCUUCCUAAAAUGGGGGAAAGGGUGUCUCCAAUUAUUGAGGGUGAGCUGAAAAGAUUGACUGACGACCAAGUCAAAUUGUGUAAUAUUCCUUCAAAAUGCAGAGAUUUUACUUCCAAGGACAAAGAAAAAUUUUCCCCUUGUGACUACGAGCCAUUGGCUAAAAUUAAAUCAUCCGAUAAUAUGCUGUGUGAAAAUAACCAUCAGGUUUCUGAAAAAGUAUUACAGGGAUCCUCAAGACAUGGAGUUAUGUCGUUCUUUGGAUGCCAAACAGAAUCAGAUAUAGGUGUGUAUUCUGAAACUAAGUUUGUCUCUGGUAGAAGUUUCGGUGAUCAGAAUAUUAUAGAUACACAGGAUGAAGUGCAAAAUUUUGUUUCAGGUGAUUUGCUGAAAAAAAAUCUGUUGUUUCCGGUGGUUGUAUACAUCCUACAGAUUGAAAGCCCAUGAAGCUGGUACGAUUGAGAAAAUAAGAUUUAAGGAAAUCUUAAAGCGUAAAAGGGGUCUCCAGGAAUAAUUAGAUUGCAGUUGAACAUUAUCCAGAUCCUCUAUUGUAUCAGUCAAAGUGUGCUUCGACGGAGUCAAACUUGCAUUCUCACAAGCACUAGCAGGAUCAUAAUCUGCAGUUGCAGACAGUGGUUCCUACAUUAAGAUUUAUAUCCAAUAGUAAUUAGAGUAUGUAACAAUAACUGAAAUGUGAACUGAAUGCGUUUGGAAAUGAAAAUGCAAACCAAAGGGUAGAAUGUUUGAUGUCAAUAUACUUCUAAUAGAUAUAGAAUAAUUUGAAAGUUCCUCUUGUAAUGAAGGCUUAGAUGUUUGAAGUUUUGAUGUAUGCUAAAAAAGAAAAUAAAAUUCAAACUAGGAUUGGUCUGAUAUCCAAACUUCUAUGAUGGAUAUUCUCAACCUAAUAAUUCAAAUCAGAUCACUUCUUCACAUUUGUAAUUGUCCCUUAUUUUCCUAUGCGAUUCUUCGUUAUCUCUGAAGCCGAAAACAGACAAUCUGGCAUACUUUGGCUGAAACACAACUCUAAUUGCCAACUCUUUUUUCAUUACUUGAUCAAGUACAUAAGGAAAUUUCAGGGGGUUAUCUUCACCAGCAUGUAUUCAUACAAUAUUCUAUUAGCAAUUCAUCAACUAAAUAAUAAGCGGUGAACAAAGAGAUUAAAGUACCUCAACUAACUCUCUUUUAAGUUCAAUUGUAGAUUUUCAACCAACUUCACACAACUGCUGUCCCAAAUGACUAAUCUUGCCUUGAAUUUGUCGUCCACAACCAAAACCUCAAGUUUGUACCUAUAACAUGUUUGGUUUAUGAACAUAGGUUUGACAUAUAAGAUGGUAUCAUGUAGAGUAAUAUUAAAGCUGGCUCAAACUCAUACCUUGGGAUUUGUUCAUUUGUUUGAUGAUUUGCAAAACAGUUCAACUUUCCAUCUUUAGUGAAACACUUUUGGUACACUCAACACAACCAUCAUAAUACCAUCUAGUUUGGCCAGCUUCAAAAUUUUCUAAUAUGGCAACAAUCACACAGGUCGUCUCUUGGAGAAAAUAUGAAUAAAGGUUAAACUUGAUGAAACUGAAAUAUAAAGUAUCUUGGUAAUUUUAGCAAGACUUAGUAUUUCGGUUUUUCAUAUAAACUUAUCAAUGUCUGAAAAUCGUGAGUUUUGGGUUAUUUUUGUUAAUUAGGAAUUGAUUUUAUCCUUUAUUGUAAAUUAUCUAGUUUCUAUCAAUUGUUAGUUGGUCCGGUGGUGAUUGGCGUUGGACUUGGUAGGGAGAACCACGGUUCGAUCCCCCGCAACUGCGAUCGGGAGGGGGAUGGAACCACUUGAUGCCAGAACUCGCCCCCGAACCGGACUAAACCGGUGGUAUAAAACCAAAAAAAAAAAAUCUAGUUUCUUAUAAUAGACCGUUUCUUCGGAAAUCGAAACCUUGUAGCGAUGUUGUACUGUCAUCUUGAUUUAGUGUGUAUCACAAUCGGUUCUUGUUCGUUUGGAUUUUAUUUCGUUCAGAGAUUGCUAUCGUUCGUUGGGCUGCAAUUUAAUCUAUUUCAGUGAUUAUCGAUUGCAGAUUGUUGUUCGGUAAUCCUGAUACUUGUUUGGUGAUUGCAGAAAGUUGUUCGAUAUUUGCUUCGGUGAUUGCAGAAAGUUGUUCGAUAUUUGCUUCGGUGUUUGGUGUCUGUUGUUCGAUGAUAGUAGUUGUUGUUUGGGAUUGCUACUGUUCCUGUCUUGUUCAUGUCUGCCACUUGUAUUAGCAAAUUUGUUGCACAUUAAAAAAUCACGUGCAACUAGGGGUGGGAAUAGGCCAGGCCGGCCUACAGGGGCCUA